rnacentral:rRNA from 1 species
GAUGAACGCUGGCGGCGUGCCUAAUACAUGCAAGUCGAGCGAACGGACGAGAAGCUUGCUUCUCUGAUGUUAGCGGCGGACGGGUGAGUAACACGUGGAUAACCUACCUAUAAGACUGGGAUAACUUCGGGAAACCGGAGCUAAUACCGGAUAAUAUUUUGAACCGCAUGGUUCAAAAGUGAAAGACGGUCUUGCUGUCACUUAUAGAUGGAUCCGCGCUGCAUUAGCUAGUUGGUAAGGUAACGGCUUACCAAGGCAACGAUGCAUAGCCGACCUGAGAGGGUGAUCGGCCACACUGGAACUGAGACACGGUCCAGACUCCUACGGGAGGCAGCAGUAGGGAAUCUUCCGCAAUGGGCGAAAGCCUGACGGAGCAACGCCGCGUGAGUGAUGAAGGUCUUCGGAUCGUAAAACUCUGUUAUUAGGGAAGAACAUAUGUGUAAGUAACUGUGCACAUCUUGACGGUACCUAAUCAGAAAGCCACGGCUAACUACGUGCCAGCAGCCGCGGUAAUACGUAGGUGGCAAGCGUUAUCCGGAAUUAUUGGGCGUAAAGCGCGCGUAGGCGGUUUUUUAAGUCUGAUGUGAAAGCCCACGGCUCAACCGUGGAGGGUCAUUGGAAACUGGAAAACUUGAGUGCAGAAGAGGAAAGUGGAAUUCCAUGUGUAGCGGUGAAAUGCGCAGAGAUAUGGAGGAACACCAGUGGCGAAGGCGACUUUCUGGUCUGUAACUGACGCUGAUGUGCGAAAGCGUGGGGAUCAAACAGGAUUAGAUACCCUGGUAGUCCACGCCGUAAACGAUGAGUGCUAAGUGUUAGGGGGUUUCCGCCCCUUAGUGCUGCAGCUAACGCAUUAAGCACUCCGCCUGGGGAGUACGACCGCAAGGUUGAAACUCAAAGGAAUUGACGGGGACCCGCACAAGCGGUGGAGCAUGUGGUUUAAUUCGAAGCAACGCGAAGAACCUUACCAAAUCUUGACAUCCUUUGACAACUCUAGAGAUAGAGCCUUCCCCUUCGGGGGACAAAGUGGCAGGUGGUGCAUGGUUGUCGUCAGCUCGUGUCGUGAGAUGUUGGGUUAAGUCCCGCAACGAGCGCAACUCUUAAGCUUAGUUGCCAUCAUUAAGUUGGGCACUCUAAGUUGACUGCCGGUGACAAACCGGAGGAAGGUGGGGAUGACGUCAAAUCAUCAUGCCCCUUAUGAUUUGGGCUACACACGUGCUACAAUGGACAAUACAAAGGGCAGCGAAACCGCGAGGUCAAGCAAAUCCCAUAAAGUUGUUCUCAGUUCGGAUUGUAGUCUGCAACUCGACUACAUGAAGCUGGAAUCGCUAGUAAUCGUAGAUCAGCAUGCUACGGUGAAUACGUUCCCGGGUCU